GCCCAAGAGAUCGGGAUAACACCUGGAAACAGAUGCUAAUACCGGAUAACAACAGAUGAUGCCUAUCAACUGUUUAAAAGAUGGUUCUGCUAUCACUCUUGGAUGGACCUGCGGUGCAUUAGCUAGUUGGUAGGGUAACGGCCUACCAAGGCAAUGAUGCAUAGCCGAGUUGAGAGACUGAUCGGCCACAUUGGGACUGAGACACGGCCCAAACUCCUACGGGAGGCAGCAGCU
rnacentral:rRNA from 1 species